AAAACCUUUCAGUGCAAGGCAGCCUACAGACUUAGCAGGAAAGCAAACUGAGGAGGGGAAGUGCCCUGGUCAAGAGCCUUGUGAACAACACUGAGGAGUAAGGGCUUUAUCCUGCAUGAGAUGGAAUAUCCAGAUUUGUCUCUAGUUCUAUCAUGAAGACAACUAUUUAAGAGUGGAAAUCAGGGAUCAAGGGAAGGACACAGGUUCUGGGAAGACUGAAGCACCAAAUGUGACUCUGGGAGACCCUUUGGAUUCCAAGCUCAAUUGAAUGUAGCUGCUUUAUACAUAUUAUACCUCUAAAUGAGAUCUAA